ACAAACAAAAAAAAACCCAAAACACAAAAAAAAAAACCAAACCCAAAACUGUUCCAGGAUCCCUCACAAGGGGACACAAGGAUAAGGAUCUGAGGAAAAGCCAGAGCAGUGUUCACAGUUACCUGUUCUCCCUCUACACCCACUCAGGGAAGAAGAGAGAAGCCCAGUUGCCUGAGGACAUAAGGGGGACCUGCAGUGUCAACUAAAAUCAUAGAAUUAUAUUGAUGUUUAAGUCAGAAAAGACCCCCAAGAUCAUCUGGUCUAACAGCUCCCCCAUGUUCACCACUAAACCAUGUCCCCAAAUGCCACAUUCACACCUUUUUUGAGCCAUUCCAGCAGAUGGGAUCAGGUUGUGACCCAUUUAAGGGUCUGCUUGCUUUAUUCUUUCAACAAUAAUUUGAUGCAUAUUUGAAUAACAUUCCUAAAAGUACUUGUGAGUGGUCCAUGAUGGCAAGUUUUCUAACUGCCAGUUCUAAUUUAACCCCCCCCUAAUAAAAGACCAGGGCAAAAAGCUUUUUUCAAUAAUUAUAAACUUCAUUGCAGGUGGGACUGUACCUAUAGAGCUGAUUAAUUGCAGAAUCUGGUCUGUAGACAUUACUAAGGAAAAGAAGAUGAGAUCAAUAUAUAUAGUAUGUACUACAUAUAUAAAACUCCUUGCAAUAGAGUAUAUUGCAGGCUACUGAAAACUGAUUAAAAACAGUUUGCCUAUAUUUACUUUGGCUGCCUUGUAAAGAGAUUUUAAUUUCAUAAUCACAUAUAGUUUACCAUUUUUUUUCCCCAGCUGCAGUGGAUGAAAACACAAAGGAACAGAAUUAAAGUUUGGACAAAUUUAAAUGCAGCAUGCCUUACAUUUUCAGUGUUUCUCUUGGCAACCUAAAUAUUAUCUUAACUUGUGGUGUGAUUAUAUAUUGGCUCACAUAGGGGAACUGCAGAACUCUGCCUGCUGAGCAUCAUUAAGCACUUUGGUGCUCGGUGGGAGUUUGUUCAUUAGGAAGAGUGUGUUAUGAAUUUUACUGUGUGUGCAUCUUUGUCUUUGAGAGAGAGGGAGGGAGAGCGAGGCAAUGAGAGGAAAAUAUAAGAUAAAUCAUUAAAACAUACAAAAUAACUAAAUAUAAAUGCUUCUAUUUAAAAGAAACAGCAGAGUAUUGCACAGAAGAAAAUAAUCAUCCACACAAGGGCUGUGGAAAGAAGUCUCCUGAAACCUGUUGCUUCUCCUGUUUGGAAACUUGGAUUAUUUCUUCAGAUUUUUAUCUGGUUGGCAGAGAUCCAGCAGUCUGCCACAUUCUGCCUUUUGGUUUAUCAUUUCCUUUUAGGUAUUAGUGCCUUUUUUUUUUUUAAUCUUGGGACAUAUAAAAGUAAAAUUGUUUAAUAUAAUUUAUUUUAAUAAGUUACCCAUACUUAGAAAUUAAUUCUACUAGCAAGAAAGAGAAAACAAACUGUAAAGAUGUAAAAUCACAUGACUUUUUACCAAUUUUAUAAACUGAAAUUAAAAUUUUUCACAGCUGAGAAUAACCUAUAGACGAUUAUUCCUUAAGUUAUUUUACAUGUCAGUGACUAGGUAUCAAAGAAUAUGUGCUCAGGGAGUGAGAUGCUGGAGUUUGUGAAAAAGUUUGUGUGUUUUUUUAAGGUCUGCAAAAUGCAUUUGAUUUUUCACCGGAGCAUCAAAAAAAUGAAUCGCUGGCCUACUUUUGUAUUCACAUGGGCCUUGUUCUAAUGCUUUGUGAUUCUGUUGGCUUCUCCUGUAGCUGUUUAUUUAUAUCCACAUGGAUGUGGAGGAAAAUCAGACUCACUGUUUUGCAAAUGGCUUUUCAAUGCCAGUGCAGUGUUAUACCCACUUGGCAUUGUGAAAUUCAGGGAAAUUAAUAAGAUUUUCAAACAUAGUUAUUUUAGCAUAAUAUGACUUUAUAUAUAACAUUUUUACCUUUCUAUGUCCAUUAAAAACAAAGAAACAGUUACUGAAAGAGGAGAGAAAUGUGGAAAAUGGAUAAUAACUGUUCCUUUAAAUUAUGUCUCCAAAUAUUUUUCCUCUAUGAAAGUAGCAAGAGCUUAAGCAACUCCUGCUGUCUUGUUGUUCGACAUCCACUACUGCCCAUCUGCCUAUUGAUUGGUAGGAAACUCCAAAUGGGAAUUUCAUCUCAUUAAUCAUGUCACAUCACAGGGAUUAGGACAAAAAAAAUCCUUUAUGCUUCACAGCAGCCAUCUAAUGCCCAGUAAGACAAGUGAACGAAUAUGAUAUGGAUAGAAUAUCUUCCCACUAAUUAAAGGUCAUCUGCUAAAAACUGAGUCAGGCUGGCUCAGAACGUGCCUGGUCUCAGCCUGCACACACUCCAGCUCUGCAAAAUGAAAGGGACAGUAAAUAUGUAUUUAUAAUUCAAAUGCAAACGUGGCUCGAGAAUAAAACCCAUCCAUUACAGAGCACUGCAGUGACAAUACUUGCUGUAGUGGUUCUCCCCGAGUAGCUCCUUGCAAAGCCCAAUUCCAUGGAUUCCCCCCUGUUCCCCCCUCCCACCAUCAUUAAUAUCCCUCCACGUGGCGUUUCCCCACCAACACGCUCUGUAAUCCUCUUACACCACCACCAAAAUUGUUGCUGUUCUACUCAUAACCCACAUAAUCUGCAUUAUAAGGUGCUGGGAUUUUUCUAAGCCUGUUUGGUACUGUAACAAGCAAGAAAAAGCAAUUAAAAUUGCUGAGAUGUGCCUGAGCAGGUGAGGUGAGGCUUCCUUCCAGUCAGGGCACUAUGGCAGAUGAGAGGGACAGACACAGCCUUGGAAGGAAGCCAACUUAUUAAUGGAAUUUGACCAUGCAAAACUUGUUGAAAUCCCUCUAGAACAUCAAAUGCCACAUUAUAAUAUCUUUACUGAGGUCCCUGCCAUUCCCAGGAAAUCUUUAAUUCCCUUUUAAGAGUAUGAUUUAUUUUUUUCAGUCAUGCUUCCCAAAGCAAGGUUUGUGGGGCGUAUUUUGGUUUGUAUUUGUGUUUUGCUUUGUCUCUCACCCAUUAAAAGCAGGUAGGUGGGAUCUGCUUUUUUUUUUGUUGGAAAGAAACCUUCAGGAAGCUGAGGCUUACUUUGACAGAACUAAACAAUUAAUUAUUUUUUUGCUUUUGAGUUAAUAAAAAAUUCUAAAGUCAUAGAUAUCCUUGAAAACAUUGCCUAUGGUAUUGUAUUUAAAAUCUUACAGAUAAUUUUAGUCAUGCUAAUGACUUGAAAUGAAGGUUAGAUGAUAACACAGAUACAUUUUAAUUAAGAGACUUGUUAAUGUGAUAAGGUAACAUAAGUAGUCUCUUUCAAAAACCAGCAGAAUAAUGCUGCACACUGCCAGUGUAAAGACUGAUAAGAGGUAGAUCUUUUUAUCAUUUAGUAUUUCCAUAUUGAAAGUUUAUGGGCCUGCAAUUAUUUCACACCAUUUUUUCUAAUAUUCCAACAAAUGAUUCAAUCUCUGAAAGCGUUUUCCAGGAGAGAAAUUGCUCAUCAAUGUUUACAGCCAUUAGUUUUAGAACAUAAACAGAAAGAUUUGAGUUUUUCCAUUGACCUCCAUGCUUAGAGAAAGUUCAUGCUGAAGCCUAAUGAGAAAUAAAAACAUCUGUAUUUUUGAUAUUUCAAAAUCUCUAGGUAGGAGACAUAGGAAUAAAACAAAUAUUUGACUAGUAGCUGUAUUCCUCUGCUGAGUAGACUUAAAUAUGCUUCGCUUCCUUUUUUUUUCCCCACCCCUCAGACUUGCCUCUUGUCCUGGUCUUUAACAAAUCCUCUCAGCAGUCUGGGUUUUCUUUCAGCUGAGCAGUUGCAAGCCCUCACCUGGUACCAGAACUCCUAUAUUUUAAUCAAACAAGCUCCACCCUCUCCUCUUUCUCUGACUGCAGCUCAGUUUACCCCUUGAAUUUCUGCUCCCCCUUUCCAUUCACAGCUGUUCUUUAUUUAAUCCUGGUUCUCCUCCCCUUCAGGCCACAUUUACCAGAUUACUUAAUCAAGGGUUUGGUGACCCUUCCUGUUAUUGUGCUUUUCACCCCUCUGCAUUUGUAGCAGAUCAGGCGCCCUCUCUAUUCAGAAUCCAUGGCCAUUAGUAACAGGGUCAGUGAUUCCAAAGGAGAUCCAGGCUCCCUGUGCAUUGCUCCUAAAGCUGCACCCACACUAGCCUGGAGCAGCUAUAGGAGAAGGAUUACACAGGGGAUUGGUCAUAAAUGUCAGCUUUUCAGAGGUUUUCUGAGGAUGAAUACGGAUGUGCAGGGAAAACAGUAAUUAAAAAAAAUCAUAUAAUUUAUUUUUUAAGCUCUUUAGGUCUACAUACAGGUGUACAGCUUCAUGUUAAAUGUCCACAGUGGCUCAGAACGAGCUGAUAUGUCAGUCCAGCAUAACAGAGAAUUAUUUAGGCUGUUUCCAGUACAUUAUUAGAACGUCCUGGUAGGGCUGGGUGAUGUGAUUGGAGAACAGAGAUGUGACAGGGCCCAUCCCCUGCCACUCACCUGCUGGUGUGGGCACUCUUUCUUCUCCUCACAGCUGAGCCCAACAGGUUCCUAACACAGAAGGUCUUUGCAAUGUUCUGUGUGAUGCAGGCACAUAUCCUUGCAGGCUUUGAAUUUUGAUCUUAUAGAGCUGUCAAUAUUAUUUACUUCUUGUGUAGUGACAGGCAAUCACCUCAAACCUGACAAAUAUUGAGUAAUCUACUCAACCUUUUGCCAUCCAGAGGGGAGCUGACAAAUCUCUCCUCUUGGCUAUCUUGUUUGUAACAACUUUUGCGAGCAAAGAACAGCACUUUUUCUUCAGGCAGCAGAAAUCUUCAGCCCAAACUUCCUAUGACAUUCAGCAAGCAAGUCACCCGUGUGCAGGAGCCCUUACAGUUGCAAGUGCCAUAAUUCCCAUUUUUCUCCUCAAACAAUUAUUUUACUUUCGUCCUACAGUGAGAGAACAGCCAUAAAAUAGGCUUCACGCUUGAACAUUAGAAUUUGAUCCAGCAUUCAGCAAAAGAGAUUUGAAUGAAUUGUGAGGCAUUUCUGUUACCUGGUGCCAAAACCACCGGCUUUGAUGUUAAGAUAAAAACAUCCUGAAUCUGCCCAGCAGGAUAAGGAAAACAAAUUUCAUGUGUUGCUUACACUCUCAUUUACUCCUUGCCAAAAAGACAGUGUGUUAGAAGCUAUUAAACUAUUUACCUUUCUAACUUAGGGACUGCACUUGGUGUUUAUAACCUUUAUAUCCUGUUCCUGGUUACAGGGAUGCUAUGGUUCAUUUUUGUAUAUUCAUUUUUCCAUGUUCACUCUGUUUUCAUAAAGGAAAAAAAAACUUGUGGGUUCAAGCAUUUGUUUUUCCUGAUUCCUCUUAAAUGUGUGCAUUUGUCUGUGAUCAGACUUCUACUACCUAAUGUGUAUUUGCUAGUUUUUUUCACAUUAACACAUAAUUUUGCUUCUAUUUUAAAUAAGAACAGUCCUCUCCUAUUUAAGUUAUAAGAGAAUCCAAAGAAGAGAGCUGCUUGUGAGGCAGGAACAACCUCUGUGGUUCGUAGCACAUAUUGAUUUCUAGCAUUCCAUGCUACUCUCUGGGCCCUGGAAGGCUGACAGAUACAGUGGGCAUCCAGCUGAAAGGCAACAUGAUGCAAAGAGCUGGCUACAGUUCUACAUAGAAUAAACUGCAUGAAUGAAGAGAAUGUGGUUUGCCCCCCUGCCCCAGCUGACACCCAGGAAGAGAAUGCAACAAUUUGUAUGGAAUUGCUUUGGACUGAUGUACAAAGAACAAUAUUAUGUUUCAUAAUUAUGUUCCAAAUGAUAAAGGAUUUUUCCUGCCAAAACCUCUCUGUAAGUGCCCCAGCAUCAUCAACUGAUGGCAGCACAGCUCUGGGAAUAAACAGACUUUCAGCUAAUGGCAGGAAUUGUCAGGGGAAACAGCAAACAGGUAUUUCUUCCUGAUAUAGAAUGAAACAUAUGAUUAAAGUUAAAUGCCAAAUCCUA